rnacentral:lncRNA from 1 species
GUUCUGUUCUGCUGCUGCAUGCUCUCAAAUUUCCCUUCCAAGAAGGUUCAAAAAAUGAGGGGCACAGUUCAUUCCUGUCACUGAGGCUCUUCUUGUUAACUUUUGCCCACUUUUUGCAUGAGAGCACAAGUCAUUACCGUUUACUUGGUGUCAUCAAGCUGUAAUGAUUCAGCUCUGAAAAAGCUGCAUUUACAGUCUGCCAAAUGAAACACACAAGUACACGAUAUGAAACCAGACUGGAAGAAUUGCUGGAGUGUUAAUUUACUACCUGGUGUCUGUCUCCUGGAGGAAGAGGAACAAAAACUGGAAAGCAGUAGUCUCCCGGUGGAAUCUUGGCUGGAGGCUCACCAGUUCAUACCAGCCUUAUUUAUGAUGGUUUGUGGUGAUGCUGGAGCCUGCACAACCUCCUACUGAAGAAGACCUGGCUAAUGCUGAUGCUCUACUACUGACCUCAUAUAUUUCCAGAUGCAGUCCAUGAGAACAUUUUGCCCUGCCUUUAAAAUACCAUAUACUGUACAUGUCAAGGUAACAUCCAGUCAUACUUCGCAUGGCAUGAGGCAGAAACAGGAUUUUCUAGCACGGAGCCCUCGAGUUUUGACAUGGGCAGCAGUGGGAGAAUGCUAUGAACUUGCCUGGUGUAGCUUCAUUUUGUGUUCUGAUGCGACCCACCAGAUGAAAGAGGGCAUGAUUAAGGUGCCUGCAGUAUAUUGAAGAGUUGCUCCUGCAGCAGAAGUAAUUAUUGUCUCAUUAAGUAUAAAAAUAUUGUUACGAAGUCCAUCCAGUUGUAAAGGCCACGUUCAUUGCAACUGAAACCCUCCGUGCGAUGGUCCAUCGAUGCACUAGAGUCACACCCACAGGCCCUCAGUCCGCCCCACUGAUGUCAGUCUGUUCCGGGAUGAUCAGUAAGUGCCACUUUAAUGGCCUUUUUUUCCACUUACCUCUUGGUUAAAGGAAAGCAAUAGUACAAUGUUGAGUGAUGCAGUAGAUGUUUCAAAGUCCUCAUCAAUGAGGAGAUUACCCUGUUACCUAAACUAGGCAUAUAAUGGAAUUUCAGAAAUACAAAAAGAAAUGUCCGAGCUAGGUUUGAAUUGGCUGAGAAAGUUUUGGAAUUAAAGCAC